rnacentral:rRNA from 1 species
UACGUAGGGGGCAAGCGUUGUCCGGAAUUAUUGGGCGUAAAGAGCGUGUAGGCGGCCAGAUAAGUCCGCUGUGAAAUCUCGAGGCUCAACUUCGAGCUGUCGGUGGAAACUAUCUGGCUAGAGUCCGGAAGAGGAGAAUGGAAUUCCUGGUGUAGCGGUGAAAUGCGCAGAUAUCAGGAAGAACACCCGUGGCGAAGGCGGUUCUCUGGGACGGUACUGACGCUGAGAAGCGAAAGCAUGGGGAGCGAACAGG